UGAGAAUGUCUAGGGAAAGGUCCCUCU
rnacentral:piRNA from 1 species